CCUGCCCAAUGAAUAAAUUUAAAAGGCCGCGGUAUUUUGACUGUGCAAAGGUAGCAUAAUAAUUAGUUUUUUAAUUGGAAACUUGAAUGAAUGGUUGGACAAAGAAAAAGCUGUCUUUAAUAUUUUUUUUGAAUUUUACAUUUAAGUGAAAAGGCUUAAAUACAUUUAAAGGACGAUAAGACCCUAUAAAUCUUUACAUUUUUAUACACUUAUAUAAUUUAGAUAAAAAUAAUUAAGAUGUUAAAUGAGAUGUUUUAUUGGGGUGAUAAAGAUACAAUUAUAAACUGUCUUAAUAAUAAAACAAAUGUGUUUGGUGAAAAAAAGAUCCUUUAUAAAGAUUAAAAGUUAAAGAUACUUUAGGGAUAACAGCGUAAUUUUUUUUGAGAGUUCUUAUCGAAAAAAAAGUUUGCGACCUCGAUGUUGAAUUAAAAAUUUCCUUAUGGUGCAGAAGUUAUAAAGGAGAGUCUGUUCGAC
rnacentral:rRNA from 1 species